rnacentral:rRNA from 1 species
GACGAACCGUCCAAACGUUAUUCGGAAUUACUGGGCUUAAAGGGUGCGUAGGCGGCGCGGAAAGUUGGGUGUGAAAUCCCUCGGCUCAACCGAGGAACUGCGCCCAAUACUACCGUGCUUGAGGGAGAUAGAGGUGAGCGGAACUUAGGGUGGAGCGGUGAAAUGCGUAGAGAUGGGGGAGAACACUCGUGGCGAAGGCGGCCAGCUAGACCAGUUCUGACACUGAGGCGCGACAGCGUGGGGAGCAAACAGG